rnacentral:rRNA from 1 species
AUUGAACGCUGGCGGCAUGCUUUACACAUGCAAGUCGAACGGUAACAGGCCUUCUGUUUCUGACGCUUGGCUGACGGGUGAGUAAUUCAUCCGAACGUACCCUGCGCUUGGGUUUAACGCAGCUUAAGCUGUGCUAAUCCCGCAUCUGAUCUGAGCUUGACAUCGGUGGACCGAGCAGCAAUGUUUCGCCUCGCGCCUUUGGACCCGCCGAUGUUGGAUUAGCUAGUUGGUGGGGUAAAUGCCUACCAAGGCGACGAUCCGUAGCUGGUCUGAGAGGACGACAAGCGACCAUGGGACUGGGACAGGGACAAGAGUCCUAAGGGAGGCAGCAGUGGGGAAUGGGAGACAAUGGGGGGAAGCAUGAUCCAGCAAGGGCGCGUGCGAGAAGAAGGCGUUCGGGUUGUAAAGAGCGUUUGGGAGGAACGAAACGGUGUCGGCUAAUACCGGGCGCGAAUGACGGUACCUGGAGAAUAAGCACCGGCUAACUACGUG